rnacentral:rRNA from 1 species
ACUUGGGCGCUGCUAUAAUGCAGUCGAGCGAUGGAUUAAGAGCUUGCUCUUAUGAAGUUAGCGGCGGACGGGUGAGUAACACGUGGGUAACCUGCCCAUAAGACUGGGAUAACUCCGGGAAACCGGGGCUAAUACCGGAUAACAUUUUGAACCGCAUGGUUCGAAAUUGAAAGGCGGCUUCGGCUGUCACUUAUGGAUGGACCCGCGUCGCAUUAGCUAGUUGGUGAGGUAACGGCUCACCAAGGCAACGAUGCGUAGCCGACCUGAGAGGGUGAUCGGCCACACUGGGACUGAGACACGGCCCAGACUCCUACGGGAGGCAGCAGUAGGGAAUCUUCCGCAAUGGACGAAAGUCUGACGGAGCAACGCCGCGUGAGUGAUGAAGGCUUUCGGGUCGUAAAACUCUGUUGUUAGGGAAGAACAAGUGCUAGUUGAAUAAGCUGGCACCUUGACGGUACCUAACCAGAAAGCCACGGCUAACUACGUGCCAGCAGCCGCGGUAAUACGUAGGUGGCAAGCGUUAUCCGGAAUUAUUGGGCGUAAAGCGCGCGCAGGUGGUUUCUUAAGUCUGAUGUGAAAGCCCACGGCUCAACCGUGGAGGGUCAUUGGAAACUGGGAGACUUGAGUGCAGAAGAGGAAAGUGGAAUUCCAUGUGUAGCGGUGAAAUGCGUAGAGAUAUGGAGGAACACCAGUGGCGAAGGCGACUUUCUGGUCUGUAACUGACACUGAGGCGCGAAAGCGUGGGGAGCAAACAGGAUUUAGAUACCCUGGUAGUCCACGCCGUAAACGAUGAGUGCUAAGUGUUAGAGGGUUUCCGCCCUUUAGUGCUGAAGUUAACCGCAUUAAGCACUCCGCCUGGGGGAGUACGGCCGCAAGGCUGAAACUCAAAGGAAUUGACGGGGGCCCGCACAAGCGGUGGAGCAUGUGGUUUUAAUUCGAAGCAACGCGAAGAACUUACCAGGUC